rnacentral:rRNA from 1 species
UUGUUCCUACGGGACGCAGCAGUGGGGAAUAUUGCACAAUGGGGGAAACCCUGAUGCAGCAACGCCGCGUGAGUGAAGAAGUCAUUCGUGAUGUAAAGCUCUAUCAGCAGGGAAGAAAAUGACGGUACCUGAGUAAGAAGCCCCGGCUAACUACGUGCCAGCAGCCGCGGUAAUACGUAGGUGGCGAGCGUUGUCCGGAUUUACUGGGCGUAAAGGGAGCGUAGGCGGACUUUUAAGUGAGAUGUGAAAUACUCGGGCUCAACUUGAGUGCUGCAUUUCAAACUGGAAGUCUAGAGUGCAGGAGG